AGCUCCAAUAGCGUAUAUUAAAGUUGCUGCAGUUAAAAAGCUCGUAGUUGGAUUUGUGGGAUGGCCGUCCGGCGGGGGGCCAUUUAUUGGUCCCGUUUGUCCUGGUUUUCGGCCUUCCCUUUCUCGGGUCUAGCGUAUUGGCUGGCAUUAGGUUGUCGGCCGCUUCGCGCCCGUCGUUUACUGUGAAAAAAUUAGAGUGUUCAAAGCGAGCGAUUGCCAUGAAUACAUUAGCAUGGAAUAAUAGAAUAGGACCUGAUCCUGUUUUGUUGGUUUGUCGGUAUUAGGUAAUGAUUAAGAGGGACGGUCGGGGGCAUUUGUAUUCCAGGGUUAGAGGUGAAAUUCUUGGAUCCUUGGAAGACAAACAGCUGCGAAAGCGUCUGCCAAGGACGUUUUCAUUGAU
rnacentral:rRNA from 1 species